rnacentral:rRNA from 1 species
CCUACGGGAGGCUGCAGUGAGGAAUAUUGGUCAAUGGGCGCGAGCCUGAACCAGCCAAGUAGCGUGAAGGAUGACUGCCCUACGGGUUGUAAACUUCUUUUAUAAAGGAAUAAAGUGAGGCACGUGUGCCUUUUUGUAUGUACUUUAUGAAUAAGGAUCGGCUAACUCCGUGCCAGCAGCCGCGGUAAUACGGGGGAUCUGAGCGUUAUCCGGAUUUAUUUGGUUUUAAGGGAGCGUAGGUGGAUUGUUAAGGCAGUUGUAAAAGUUUGCGGCUCAACCGUAAAAUUGCAGUUGAAACUGGCAGUCUUGAGUACAGUAGAGUUGGGCGGAAUUCGUGGUGUAGCGGUGAAAUGCUUAGAUAUCACGAAGAACUCCGAUUGCGAAGGCAGCUCACUGGACUGCAACUGACACUGAUGCUCGAAAGUGUGGGUAUCAAACAGGAUUAGAUACCCCGUAGUC